CAUUCUCCUUUGACAGAACGUAUCGUACCAGUCUCUUCUGAUUGAACGGACUGUACCAUUCUCCUCUGACAGAACGGACUGUACCAUUCUCCCUUGACAGAACGUAUCGUACCAUUCUCUUCUGAUUGAACGGACUGUACCAUUCUCCUCUGACAGAACGGACUGUACUAUUCUCCCUUCACAGAACAUAUCGUAACAUUCUCUGACUGAACGGACUGAACCUUUAUCCUCUGACAGAACGGACUCUACCAUUCUCCCCUGCUAGAACGGACCGUAUCAUUCUCCUCUGACAGAACGGUCCCUACCGUGAUCUGUGUGUACCAGACACAUUGGUGGAUGCUAGGCUACAACUCUCCAUAGAGGAGGUGGACACAAAUGAGAUAUGCUCCAUUUUGGCUCCAGCCAGGUCAGCUGGAAGCAGCCUGGGGAUGUUAUGAGGCGUUCCAUCAUCGAACCCACCGGUUCAUUCGGGACGAGGAGGGAUGAGGCCGGGACCACCGCCAUCACCCCAUACCCCGUUAGCCUGCCUGCCGUCAUCCCCUGGAGGAUCGGCAUAUUACCUCCAGACCAGACACAGAGAGCGGUCUGAAAUAAAGAGCCACGGCCUGAGGAACCACUAUCAGCUCCUAUAAAAGCUCCAUCCAUGGCUGCCGUGGCCAUAAAAGCGGGGAAACUAGAUGGUGGAUUUCACUUUAAGAUCCCUCAGUUUGAAUGAAAGUAAUUAUCUUUUUUGUUUCACUCUGAGGGACAGAGGCAGCGUCUGAAAUGGCACCCUACUUCCUAUACAGUGCACUACUUUUGACCAGGGUCCAUAGGGCACUGCAUAGGGACUAGGGUAACAUUUGGUGCACACAGGCCCUCUGACACAGCUCUGUGCUUGGAAUAUGGUUCAGACAGGGUGGAGGGAGUGGUGCUUGGUAUACUGUAGCUCAGGGCUGUAUGUAUUCAGCAUCUCAGAGUAGGAGAGCUCAUCUAGGAUCAGGUCCAUCUAAUCUUACUCAUCGUGAUCUAAAAGCCUAAACUGAUCCUAAAUUAGCACUCCUACUCUGAGACCCUUGAUACAUACGGGCCUAAACACUGUUUUCAUCCUUUCUUUCUAAUCAGGGACUGAUUCAGACGUGGGACACCAGCAGAACUCACACGGACGCAUACUUCUGAGUCUGGCUGUUAAGCAGCUGCCUCUGUUUCUCCAUAAUGGCUGUCUUGCAAGCACUGCAUAUAGUUAUUGACAUUGAUUCCCAGUAAACUUUGGCAUCAGAGUUCAUCUGAACACCCUAUAUCCUAAUACCUUGGCCUGGUCUUGACCUCUGACAUUGAUCUGUAUAGUCUCUACUGGCUAGAUGAGACAGGGACAACAAGACGAUGAAUACUCCAGAUGGUGUCUUAAGGUUGAUAUUCCAAAAGCUCAUUAUUCCCAAUCCUUACAUAGACCUGACUCAUUAUCCCAGUCAAAGAUAAUCACUAAACUACCUUAUUGCCAGCUACCAAAACCCCACUAACUAGGUCUAACAAUGCACUUGUCAAAAUGACACUACCUUUCUUGUCCAUAACAUGAGUUAGAGUCUGUUAUACUGCUGUAUUUUGGCCCUGGAAAAUACUAGUCCUACAACUACAGAUGUAGGAUCUUCAUUUGAGCCAGUAGGAAAAUAAUCCUGCAGCAACAGGAAAUGUGGAUUUUUAUUCAUUGACAUUUUUGUAAGGUUUUCUCAAUUUUUCAUAAGGGAAAAUCAAGUCUGAAAUUUCAAAGUGGAAAUAAUACAUGUCAAAUACACUACAUAAAUACACUGCAUUGCAGGAAAGUUCCGCAGCAGGGUGAUCAAAUUAUGAUACUACAUCUGUAUACUCUAGUGACUGAUUUAAGGUUUGGGGAUGGGGAUAGAUGGCCCGGGGCAAAUUAUUCUAAGAGCCCCCUGAUGUCAGUGGGACUGCCUGGUGAAAUAAAAGGCGGGGCAAUAAACCAGGAGCAAAAGAAAGAAAGUAGCAUGCAUAGCGCAUAGAACAGGGGGCCACCCUGAGGCAAUGGUCCAACUGCCCCGUGGUUAAAUCCCUCCACUGAAAGUGGAAUAAUCACACCAGAGCCUUCGGAGAGAGAAGGAGAGAGAGAGAGAGAGAGAGAGAGAGAGAGAGAGAGAGAGAGAGAGAGAGAGAGAGACAAAGAGAGACGACUGAUACCCACAGCUUUGGUACCCAAACCAAAGCAGCCACCCGUCUCAGUCGUCUCUCUUUGUCUCAAAAUCUGAGAAAAGCCCCUGUGAUAAAAAAGGGAAUUAGAAGCUCUGUGAUAAAGAGGGAGGGAGUUGGAGGGAGAUCUAAGAAAGAUCACGAGGGUUUAGUAUCCGUGUAGUUGUUUCAGAUGUGUCGGGAGAUAUAAGCAUUAAGGUCGUAGGUUGUUCCAAAAUGGAUGUUGAUACUUUGAGCUCUUACAUGCUGCUUACAAAAUAGGUCUGAACUAGUAUUCAUUCAUGUCAAAGUAAAUCAGUGAAAAUAAAAUAAUCUGUAAAAAAACAAACAUUUGAUCAUGAAUUAUAUAAAUAUUUAUCAGUGAUGACAGAGUUUUAGUAUUCAAAAGCAAUGAAAGGUUAGCUAAGCAGUUUCACCCCUCCCCUUCACGCCUCUCAAUGCCCACUUUCCCUUUAAGAGAGGGCACAGCAUGGACUCCACUAUAAAUCAUAUUUAGUACCUCUGGCGUGUUGGGAGAACUAAUACAGGUGACAAUAUUGUAAUUGCCUUGUCAUGGUCACCUACUAAUUGUCCUCCUGUCUGACAUUUCGGAGGACAUUUUGUAUUCUACCACAGCUUCGAAGAAUUCUCGCUUCCUAGAUAUGGUUGUUUUAAAAAAUGGAAAUAGUACUCAACAGUGAAAUGUAUUUCAAGAAAGAGAUUUAGUUUUCUUUACGGAGUGUAUUGUGUUUGGAUAUUUGAUAACAUCAAUUAAGAGAACAUCGUUUUAUUCAAUAAUUCAUCAUGAAUGUGACCUUCUUGAUACUAAGUUGUCGGCGGCUUGGUUGAGUGGUCGUGUUACAUGCUAAUUAUGACAGGAAAGGUCAAACUAAUUAGCUCUCUCUUUGUACCUGCUGUUAGAGUCAUUUCCUGGUUGUGAUCACUGAGUCAGACAGGGUUCAAUUAACUCACUAAUGUGAAUUUCAUGCAACACAAUUAAAAAAGAUGGAGACCUAU